GGAGACCACUGAGAAGCUUAAAUCUACUCUCAGUGAGUUCCAGGCCAUCAUCGAUGAUUUCCCUGGCAUCUGCACCUGGGAGACAGCAUCUGCAACAUCUGUGACCAUGAUUAAAGGAAUGUCUCAGCUACUCACAAGGUCUACACCUGGGAUGAUUACAUCAGCUGUGCUCAGAAGCUGGUAUCACCCUACUACAUGUGAAUACA
rnacentral:lncRNA from 1 species